AUACGGAGGACGCGAGCGUUAUCCGGAUUCAUUGGGUUUAAAGGGUGCGCAGGCGGCCGUGCAAGUCAGCGGUGAAAGCCCGGGGCUCAACCCCGGAAGUGCCGUUGAUACUGCAUGGCUGGAAUGCGGUCGAGGCGGGCGGAAAGGGGCGUGUAGGGGGGAAAUGCGUAGAUAUGUCACAGAACGCCGAUAGCGGAGGCAGCUCGCCGGGCCUGCAUUGACGCUCGGGCACGAAAGCGUGGGGAUCGAACAGGAUUAGAUACCCUGGUAGUCCACGCCGUAAACGAUGGGCGCUCGUCGUCGGCGGCAGACAGUCGGCGGCCAAGCGAAAGCGAUAAGCGCCCCACCUGGGGAGUACGGUCGCAAGGCUGAAACUCAAAUGAAUUGACGGGG
rnacentral:rRNA from 1 species